CAUAUGCCUGGAACAAUAUAUUCCUUGUUAAUUAUCGCGUGAACUUUUUUUAGAGAAACCUUUAUCGAAAAACUUACCUAGUAGAACUUUUUAAAUGUUCUCCUUUAUACUUGGCAACAUGUUCCACCCACCAAGUGGCCAAUUUUUUAGGAUUAAUCGCCACUUUGAGAAUCCCAUCGCGAAGACUCCCGAUGGAUAUUCCGGCCAAAUCCAUCACCAAAGCGUAACCCAAUUUUUCUGCAACGAAAGAAAUCGUAUCUCAAACAAAACGGGCAAAACGAGGGUGGGAGCAGCGUGAUAAGCGGCCUCGUGCAGAGAUAGAAGUCCACCGUGGGAGACAAACGCUCGAAGCUUCGAGUGGCCUAAUAGCUCUUGCUGCGGCCACCAUGCCGCUGUUCUGACGUUCGAUGGCAGAUCUUUGAUCUUCAUACCUUCCCAUUUCCAUACAACGUUGCACGGAAGCGUGGCAAAGGCUGCCACGAAGAUUUGACGAAGCGCCUCGGGCAUGCCCGAAGCGCGGACCGACGAACCCAUGGAAACGAAGAUGAAACCUGCGCCAACGUUUCGCCAUUAUACCAACUUCGGAAUUAGACGAAAAUGGCCCAUUCGGUAUCACGGAUCGAUCGUGGGAAAAAGACAAAAAAAAAAAGAAGAAAAGGAGGAGAAAAAGUCAUCGUGAAUGAAAUCGUGAUGAAUCGAGAAGUAAAAGCGCGAUACUACCUAGAUACUUUCUCAGAACCGGUUGAAGGUAUCCGGUGAUCAUGAACCAGUGCAUUAUCCUCAAACUGACGAGGCAGGCGGCGUUCAGGAUCCUUUGAACGAAGCUCAUGUCUUGCGUCAGGGAUUUGCCGAAGUAAGGAGUGACGGACCAUGGAGAUGGGUUCCCUUGCCGACUUAUCGACCCACUGUACAAGGCCACCUGCGCCCGGACAUCGCCACUUUAACUUUACGUAUCACAUACUCUUUUCAACACACUCUUCUUUAAAUUUUAUAUAGAAAUAUACUCUGCUCGAGAUAUUCUUUUUUUUUUUUUUUUUUAAUUUUAUAUAGAGAUAUACGCCGUUAUUAUUCUAAAUUAAUUCGAUAUUUAGGGGAAAGAGGAGAAGGAAAUCGGAGAAGUAAAAUUGUUUACCGUGUUGAGCAUGAUAAUGGGCACGCCCUCGCCGUGGAGAACUCCGAGAAGGCACUCGGGGAAGGCUCCGUCCACCACGGCAACGUCCCAUCGUUUGCGAGAAUCGGCUUUGCCCCUUCUCAGCCAGGGUACCGAUAUUUCGUCCCGAAGAAGCGCCUCGCAAGACUCCCAGGCAUAUCGCAUCGCGUCCCACGGCGAGAUGGGCAUUUCGUCCCGGAACCUCGCACCGACCAAGUCCCACUCAGACGUGUAAUUCCCGACGUAAGCCUGCCGAUAUAAAAGCGAGCCACGCGUCAACAUUCUUCUUCUUACGACUUCUUUAAUAUAAUUUUUAUCGAUCGAGCAAUUGGAGAAUUACUUCUUCCUUUCUUUAUUUAAAAUUGAUCAUUUUAAAAUUAUCCUUCUUUUGUAUAAUUUUUUGAUGUGUUGGAUUCGAAUAAUUCUCGAUCCAAUUCCUCCAUCGAUUCGAGAAUUAUUUCUUUCUUUAUUUAUUUAAUUUUAUUUAUUUUAUAAUUUUUGUAAUUAUACGAUAUAAUUAUGUACACGCGUGAUGUGUUGGAUUCGAAUAAUUCUCGAUCCAAUUCCUCCAUCGAUUCGAGAAUUAUUUCUUUCUGUAUUUAUUUAACAUUUUAUUAUUUUUGUAAUUAUACGAUAUAAUAAUUAUGAUAUAAUUAUGUACACGCGUGACGUGUUGAAUUCGAAUAAUUCUCGAUUGAUUCGAGAAUUAUUUCUCUCUUUAUUUAUUUAACAUUUUAAAUUGUAAUUUUUAUAAUUAAUUAAUAAUUCUCGAUCGAUUCGAGAAUUAUUUAUUUAACAUUUUAAAUUGUCGCGCACUGACGAUCCCAUUGUCCUUCUUUUAUAUAAUUUUUAUAUAAUAAUUAUAUACACGCUUAACGUGUUGGAUUCCUCGAUCGAUUCGAGAA